rnacentral:misc_RNA from 1 species
CGACCCCACGCCCACAUAUUUAUUUGUUUGGGCGGAAUUGACCGACUGGGUGGAAUGAUCUAGCCUCACGGCUGGGUGAAUGCUUAGUCAGUUCAAGUUUUCUAAAAGGCUAAGUCUGUCUUCCAUAAGUGGGCACACAUAUUCCUUAUAUCCUUUUGAAAUUAAAACCCUCAAAAAGACAUUAGAAUAUCCAUGGGACUGGGCGACAAUUUUUAUAGACUUUGGCUGAAACCAAAUGAGAUUACCCUUUUUUAGGGUACUCUCUUCAU